GGAUAUGAGAGUAAUCUGACUGCGCUAGGUCAGGCUGUUGAUCUCCAGGGUUGAGUCGGCUGAUGGAGCUGGCUAGGCGGAUAUCUGUUUCCUUGUUUUAGCUCCAGGUGCUUCCAUUCCAAAACUGCACACUUAGCUUAAAAGGACAACCACCCGCAGUCGAGGAGGGCUGGAUCGCUCUUCAGGCACGGGUCUGAGUAACUACAUUUCUCUGAAAGAACUCCCAAACAGGCUGUCAAGAGGAACAAUGUCAUGUCCUCAGUAGGGAAAUAGAUAGCAUCGUCACGUGAAGUGAAAUAAACCAGACUUAGACAAAUACUGAAUGUUUUCUAUCAUACGUU
rnacentral:snRNA from 1 species